GAAUGGGAUGAUGAUCGAUAUCGUUUCCCUAUUGGUUUGAUUGCCUGCAUGAUGGCACAUUUCUAUCAGGUCUAUCUGACCAUUC